AUGUGCCUGGCGAGGAUUUCUGUGCUGCGCCUCCGCAUUCUCCCUCUCUCCCUCUGCUCUCUUCCUCCCUGCUCAGCGUGCCUGCCCUCGCUUCCGCACCGCUCCCCUUCGUGCAUCCCACCGGCGACCAUGGUCAAGGAGAAGACGGCGGCGUUGGAGCGUGCCAAGAAGGCGUCGGCAUCGGAGAAGGCGAAGGGGAGAUCCACCAGCCGCCGAGGAUCCUCGUCCAGAUCCCGCCUGCCGAAAGGCUGGGUCCAGGGCGACUGGAUCCAGUCGACCAUCACGGAGAAGGACCUCCUCGACAUGGCCGACGAGGGUUUGAUCCCUCACGGAGCCGCGAGGUUGCCGGGGAAGGAGUGGCAGCCACAGCCAGAAGAGGGUGAGUGUGUGCUCCUGGCCACUCAUGUCGAUCGGGGGUUUUCCUUGCCACCGAGCAUUUUCUUCCGGGGUUUCCUGAAUUUCUUUGGGGCGCAGCUCCACCACUUUACCCCAAACUCCAUUGCCUACCUUGCUGCGUUCGUGUCCAUGUGCGAGGGUUUCUUGGGCUGUCGACCGCACUGGGGUCUGUUCAAACGUAUCUUCACGUGUCGCUCUCAGACCGUGAAGAAGGCGAGCCCAGGUGACGAGAAGACCCGAGUCGUCCAAAUGUGUGGGGGCCUGGGGAUUCAGGUGAGGAACAAUAGCACCUUCCCGCCCAUGUCUUUUCCCGAGUCCGUCAGGGGCUGGCAGUCGACUUGGUUCUACUGCCAGGUCCAGUCGACGCCAGGGCAGUCGAGUGGACUCCCUCCGUUUACCAUGGACCGAGUGAACAAGCCCUCCCCUCUGAAGCUGAUUCCGGAGGAGAAAGCCGACGUGAAGAUGUUGAUGGAGCGCGUGGUGCAGCUGGUUCGGGACGGUGUGACAGGCAUGGACCUCCUGGAGGUUUUCCUCAAGCGUCGCAUCCAGCCUCUCCAGUUCAGGAGCCACUGCAUGUGGUUGUACUGCGGGCCCGAAGACGAGACUAGAGUCCAUCCAGAAGAAGUCGACGAUGUCACUCUGGAGAGAUGGAUGGCAGCCAUUACCGGAAACAGGGACAACCCGCGCGGAGCCAGAAGAAUCCCUCCACUCGACCACGACAGCAUCCCAAACAAGGUACACUUGCUCUGCUUUCCAUUGUCCUUGUCGUAUUCAUUUCUGCUAACCCUGUCGACUGGUCGACUGAUCCUUGUUUGGGCGACUGCUAGGCCUUCACCGAGCUAUACUCGAUGCCCAAUGGGGCACAAGCUUCGACUGAGGAAGGCGAGGCGAGCGGGGGCGAGGCGAGCGGGGGCGAGGCGAGCGGGGGCGAGAGCCAGGAAGAGGAGGAAUGGGACUCGGAUGCUGCAGGGGAUGAUGACGACGAUGAUGAUGAUGAAGGUGAUGAAGAUGACAUCGAGGACGAGGAAGAAGAGGAAGAGGAGGUCGUUCCACCGCGCUCAGAAAGGCGGUCGAAGCUUGUCCACGACCCUUCGACCGAACGUGGUAAGGGGGUUGCGACCGCCACCCAGUCGACCAAGCGCCCCCGGACCACCUCUCCGGCGCCGACUGAAAAGGCGCCGAAGCAGCCUAGGGCGGCUUCAUCGAAGCCGACCAAGCUCCUGCCGAAGAUGA
rnacentral:rRNA from 1 species